rnacentral:rRNA from 1 species
CAUAUCAAUAAGCGGAGGAAAAGAAACCAACAGGGAUUGCCCUAGUAACGGCGAGUGAAGCGGCAACAGCUCAAAUUUGAAAUCUGGCCUUCGGGUCCGAGUUGUAAUUUGUAGAGGAUGCUUUUGGUGAGGUGCCUUCCGAGUUCCCUGGAACGGGACGCCAUAGAGGGUGAGAGCCCCGUCUGGUUGGACACCGAUCCUCUGUAAAGCUCCUUCGACGAGUCGAGUAGUUUGGGAAUGCUGCUCUAAAUGGGAGGUAUAUGUCUUCUAAAGCUAAAUAUUGGCCAGAGACCGAUAGCGCACAAGUAGAGUGAUCGAAAGAUGAAAAGCACUUUGAAAAGAGAGUUAAAAAGUACGUGAAAUUGUUGAAAGGGAAGCGCUCAUGACCAGACUUGGGCUUGGUUGAUCAUCCAGGGUUCUCCCUGGUGCACUCUUCCAGUUCAGGCCAGCAUCAGUUCGCUGUGGGGGAUAAAGGCUUUGGGAAUGUGGCUCCCUCGGGAGUGUUAUAGCCCAUUGUGUAAUACCCUGUGGUGGACUGAGGUUCGCGCAUUCGCAAGGAUGCUGGCGUAAUGGUCAUCAGCGACCCGUCUUGAAACACGGACCAAGGAGUCGUCUUCGUAUGCGAGUGUUCGGGUGUUAAACCCCUACGCGUAAUGAAAGUGAACGCAGGUGAGAGCUUCGGCGCAUCAUCGACCGAUCCUGAUGUUCUCGGAUGGAUUUGAGUAAGAGCAUACGGGGCCGGACCCGAAAGAAGGUGAACUAUGCCUGUAUAGGGUGAAGCCAGAGGAAACUCUGGUGGAGGCUCGCAGCGGUUCUGACGUGCAAAUCGAUCGUCAAAUAUGGGCAUGGGGGCGAAAGACUAAUCGAACCUUCUAG